UGCUGCAUGGCUGUCGUCAGCUCGUGUCGUGAGAUGUUGGGUUAAGUCCCGCAACGAGCGCAACCCUUGUCCGUAGUUGCCAUCAUUCAGUUGGGCACUCUACGGAGACCGCCGGUGACAAAUCGGAGGAAGGUGGGGACGACGUCAAGUCAUCAUGGCCCUUAUGACCAGGGCUACACACGUGCUACAAUGGCCGGUACAGAGGGUUGCCAACCCGCGAGGGGGAGCCAAUCCCAGAAAGCCGGUCGUAGUCCAGAUCGGAGUCUGCAACUCGACUCCGUGAAGUCGGAAUCGCUAGUAAUCGCGAAUC
rnacentral:rRNA from 1 species